rnacentral:lncRNA from 13 species
AUGGGACAGGCUCUGAGAAGAUUUUUGACAUUGAAAUCAGCUUUGUAUUUGAAUUCCAACUUGCCAUUUACUGGACUCAAUACACAUCAAGCAUCCCUCCUCCAUCUUGGAGCUCUGGCCCCUGGGAGUCAGGAUCCCCAGCAUCACUACAGCAAGGGAAGAAAGAGACAGAACCAGCUCAUCUAUUGCCUCUACCCAGAAGUGACCCACAUCAAUACUGCUCCUAUGCCACGGGCUAGAACUAGUCACAUGAACCAAUUUAAUUCCAAGGUUACUACCAAGCCCUAUUGUAGUGGAUGCUAUGGAGUCACCAAGCUUCCUCCUCCAGGAUGGCACUGUUUCCUCAGCUGUCAGGAGUGCUGCCUGCUGACUACUCACAGCUGAGUGAGGAAUGAGCCUUAAUGCAAUGAAGAUGCCUCACCUAGAUGCACAAAGUUAUGCACUCUCCCUGUGGGUGGAUUGCACCCAAUGGCCAGUUGAUGUGGGGGUGCAGAGGACUGUCAGCUGGGCUCAAUUCAAUCACUCGAAAGGGUCAUCCCUGCUCUAAAGCACCAUGAGGGUAGAGCUGAAGCUUUUGCUGCAACUGCCUUGCAGUUCAACUUCUCCCUCUACCUGUUCCUGCUGCGCUUCCUCCCUCAAAGACACUGUUGAGGCUUCUGCAUGCAAAUCUCUGCCUCACAGUCUGUUUCCCAGGGAACCCAAUCCAAACCCUUCCAUUUAAUCUGCUAUAAUAGUUAAUAAAGGAAUUUACAAUGUCUCCCA